GGGCGAUUAGCUCAGUUGGUAGAGCAGCUGACUCUUAAUCAGCGGGUCCGGGGUUCGAGUCCCCGAUCGCCC
rnacentral:tRNA from 1 species